UACGUAGGGUGCAAGCGUUGUCCGGAAUUAUUGGGCGUAAAGAGCUCGUAGGCGGUUUGUCGCGUCUGCUGUGAAAACCCGAGGCUCAACCUCGGGCCUGCAGUGGGUACGGGCAGACUAGAGUGCGGUAGGGGAGAUUGGAAUUCCUGGUGUAGCGGUGGAAUGCGCAGAUAUCAGGAGGAACACCGAUGGCGAAGGCAGAUCUCUGGGCCGUAACUGACGCUGAGGCGCGAAAGCGUGGGGAGCAAACAGG
rnacentral:rRNA from 1 species